CGAUCCUCCAAUCCUCAGAGGCUGGAAUGAAAACACGCUGCAGGAUCCGGACUGACUGGACGACCAGAUCCAUUCUGCAAUCAAGUGGAUUCAGAACAAAACAGCAGCAGCACAUCCUGUUUCCAUCAUAGACCCGCCUGUAAUCAGGUACGUUAGUUUGUUUUAACCAUUAAAAAAAAUUUAGAGUUAACUUCCAAACUUUCUAUAAAUGUUUGGAAACUCGACUCUCCAAAACAGCUCCUGAAAACUCUCCAUCAGUUUGAAAUGGUUUUAACUUUGCAACGAUCACUGAAGAUUUUGCUUGCUAUAGAAGUAGUUGGUUAAAUAUUCAUCCUUUAGAUCUUUUUUGUAGAAUUUCAAUAAUAAGAAACACUUUGACCAAAGCCUGAUUUAUUUAGUACGACUGGAGAGUUAGGGAUGAAAAAAAUCAACAAAUAGAUGUAAAGUUUCAGGUUCUUGCAGAGAAAAUGUUGGACAUAAAGUCUGUGUUUAUGCAAAUUUAAAAAGGCUGCAUGUCAGGAAAAAAAAACACAUAUUAAAGUAAAAUGUGAACCUGUGAGUGUUGAAACAUUUUCAGUUCAAAUUAAUCAAAUUUAAACCCCCAACUGCACCUAAUCUAAAGAACACAUGUAAGAUAUGAAGGACCGUUUGAUUCUACAUGAAACGUUUAAACACAAACACUCGUUCUUUAGCUGCAGUUAUUUAUUUACUUUUAUUUUCUGAGAUUGUCUUGAACUGAUUGUUGUAUAAAAAUAACAACUUCAGCAUAAAGUUUGAGCUCAGUGAAAGAAAAGAGCAAGUGGACAUUUAGUUUUGGUUGUUCGAUUGAAUCUUUUCAGUCAUUUUUGAGGUUUAACUUUAUGAUUUUACUCCUUUUUUGUGUAAAACAAUCCAAACAUCCGAGUCGAGUAUAAUAGAUUUUGAACAUGAUUUUACAUAUUUCCGUUAAGAUCAGCAUUUGAAACGGUUGUGACCAUCAACUGAAGACCAAAAUACAUUUAAUUUUGUCAGAAAAUAAUACAUUUUUGGAAGUUAACCAUGAAUACCUUAUUUAUUAUGUGUCAUUUAUUUAUGAUGUAUUUUGUUAAUAUCAUGUGUUCUGUUUUAUUGUGUUGCAGUGCAGCUCGAUGUCUUGCCUUGUCUAAGACAAAUGUCUCCCAUGGGAGACAAAUAAAGUGAACUUUGAACUAAACAUGCAUCCUCUCUUCCAGGAACAUCUGUCCUCGUUCCUCAGUGUGAAAAAAGCUCCCUGUUGGUCAACCUUUAUCACAGUAAAACUAAAGUCUCACUUCACUCAAACAUGCAUUUUCCAGACUUAUCUCUGGUUUUAGAGGUGCUUUAUGCAGGAUUUACUUUUACAUUUCAUCCACUAAUUGGAGGAAAGUCUUUGUCAUUUGAAAUUAACACGUUUAAGGAUUGUUAACUUUUUCUCUUUUGCUUUUUUGUUCUAAAAAAGCUCAGAACAUACAUAUGACAUACUGCUGGAUCCAGUUUUUUCACAAAAUACCAAAAGAAGACCGUAAAUAAGUACAUUAAUCCCCCUGAAAAGAAGACAUCUUUACAGCCUAAACUCUGGAACAAACUGAUCCUUUCUUGCAUCUAAUUCUUGCUUCUUGUUUUUGUUUUGUCUUAGUGGCCUUUUUGGAUGACUUUCCAACUUUAUUCCCAGUAGAACACAGUGAAGAUGAGAGGCCACACGUGUGAACAACACAAAUAAAACCACAACAAUCUUCUGUGAUAUGGCCUUUUUUCCAGUAGAACACAGCAGUGAGGAGUAAACAACACAAAUAAAACCACAAUAAUCCACCAUGAUCAAUGUUGGCCAGCCAGAAAGCUGAAGGAGUCUGGAACCUUCACAAACCCUGGUUUAAGAUCUUAACUGAACGUCUGUUGACUAUCUUUCCUGAACAAACCACAGAAGGGACAUGAAAACUGUGAAAACGAAGUCAUUGAAGAUGCACGAGAUGUUUUCUACCUGGAGGAGGAAUCAGAACAGAGGCUGGUCUUCUGGGUGACGGAGAUGCCCUCAGAACCUGUAGAAGCAGCUGUUGUUUGUUUUCUAAAUGACUUUGGAUCUUUUUUUUCUGUCAGAUAAAACAAUAAUGUCCUUACUUUUUUCCCCUUUUAGUGCCAGGCGCUGACUCUUCAAUCUCACCGGGAGAUUCUGGAUUCAAUUUGGAAUUUAACUCCUACCUGCAAUGUUCCCUGUAAUUUUUCAGUCUGAGUGUGAGCAAACACACAAACUCCCUGAGCGUUCCUUGGACCACUGUGAGCAACAUCAGACGUGUGCACUGUGGUCACACCAGCAUCACAUCCAUUCAAGUUACAUGGUUCAUUAAAAGAAUCAAAUUACAGCAUUUACAUUUCUGUUAAAACACUUUGACAACAGGAGCCAGUUGAAGGCUGCAGUGAUUUUAGUGACACUACAAUGUAUAAGAGUGAAGUUAUUGAAUAUUUGUCUCUCUUUACUGUUGCAGCGGUUUUGCAAAUUGCAGACGGACCCUGUUCAUUCCAUAGACACCAAUGUUAUUCCUGUAGCUUGAAAGACAGCUACUUUUGAUAAAACUGGGCUUGUAGCACAUUGUCUGCCUUGCAACAAUGGGAAAGAGGCACCGUUUAUGUUUUGACAACCUAUAUCUAAUGAGUUAUUGAUGCUGGAAGUCUGAAUCUGUGAAUAUCUUUCCAACUUUACUGAACUUGGGGCCACUACCACCUAAGGAGUGAUAUAUUUAAUUUUGAAAAAAGCAUUUAGCCAUACUUAAAGCUUUAAGUGCUUUAUUAACACGGAACUAAAAAUUUUGUAUUGUUUUAUUAUCACAGGUUCUGUCUGAAAAGAGGUGGCAUCAUUUUAAACAGUGAAAUCAAACUAACAAAAUGUAACAACCAACCAGUGAGCAAUACUGGAUUCUGCAAAAACAUAAACAACUUUUUUUAAAAUCUAAAUCUUAUCUUAACACAGUUAAUGUAUUAACUUAUUUUUGUGUGUAUGCAUGUAUUUAUUGAUUUAUUUAGUACUGUUAACAUAUCAGAGUUCUGAGUGAAUUUUUCUUAAGAUAGGCAAAGGCCAUUUAUUGAUUACAUAUAGGCUGUUAAAUGUUUAUUAAAAACUAAAAAGCAUUUAAAAAAAACAACUUAGGCAUUUAUUGAGUCUCUAAAAUACUGUAGAGUACAGACCACAUCAGCAUGAUUAUAAGCAUCCUCUGGUAAAUGAACAACCAGAUACUGAUGUCUCUCACCAUAUGGACUUCAGGAGAUGAUUAGAUGAUGAUAAACUGUGACCUACUGGUUGGGUUCUCUCUGUUCUCAUGUUUCUUACAUGUUUGUCCCCUGACAGCCGGGUCCUAAUGUUUUUUGAGCAACACACCAUACUAUGACGUUUUUACAAUGAUGGUUCUACUAUGGAACCAGUUUGACAUGUUCAGGUGUUCUUUGUGUGAAAACUUAGAGAUUUCAGGGAUCAGAAGGUGGUUUUCAACUUUCUUUGUUAACUUUCUGCUUCAACUUUAAACUAAAUUUCCUUGACUAAGCCAGCCCUCUGGACUUCCAGGAAGCUGUGUUCCUAUUGGCUGUCCAGGUGGCUGCUUGGUGUUAUCAGGAACACCUGAGCAGCUCAGUGUCUUCCUGCUUUAUUUAGCUGCAGACAAACAUUUCCUCUGCUUCUCUUCACCAGUGAACUGGGUUUGGUUCCGUUGCUUCAGUUUGUUCUUUAGGCGUUGGCUUGCAGCUUCCAGCAGUAAAAUCGUCUUUAAUGUGUUUCUUGGUGUGUUUUAGGGCUUUGUACUGGAUAGUUGUCUUGGUAAAUGUGGUUCUUUAGCCACAGUUAGCACAUGGUGAUAAUGUUUGCAGUGAUUAAUGGAUUUGGUGCAGCUGAGUUGUGUCUUUAUCUUGGCUGUAGUGAGUCUUCAGAGGUUUCUGGUCAGACACAUUCUGUAUUCUUGUUUGAGAACCAGCGUUGGUUGUCCAGAAGGUAAGAGUUCCUGUCCUGAUUCUCUGUUCUCAGAGGUUCUCUGGUAGGCUGCAGGAGACUUUAGCGUUUGGGUUGUGCUAGUUUGGUUUUUGUAUGGUUUCAUUUGGACGACUAUCUUGAGGCCCCUCCAUGUGGUUUAGUGAGGUUUUCUGGAACAGUUCUACAAAGCAACCUGCAGCAGAAGAGACUUUGAGAGUUUUUAGGAAGUUCUGGAGACCAGACUUUAGAGCAGCAGAAACAUUUGUCAGCAGUUUGAGCAGGAGAAGGUGAGCUUCAGAGUAGAAAUGAGACAGAAACCUUCUUGACCCGUGUGGUGAGGUCCUGUACCAAGAGUUUGAGCAGGUUGUUUAGAGUCUGUAGUUCUUUGGUCUGAAAGCACAAGAAGAGUCGACUCAUUAAAGGAGAAAACAGGAGAUAUUGUUGGUUCUUCUGUCGCUCUGCAGUUUCCUUAGACUGAAUAUCAAGUUUAUAUUUUAAAUGAUUUCCCAUGUGAGCCCAAGAAGACUUCAAUAAACUCCCUCCAUCCCCUGGACACAACAUAUUUUAUUACCAUAUUAAAUCUUUUUUUCCUUUAAUGUGUUUGAGUUUUAAUCAUAGUUUUAGCAUAGUUUUUUCUCUUUGCUUGUUUAGUUUUGUCAUCUGUGUAAAAGGUGCUAAACAAAUAAAGUUGAAUUGAUAAACUGAAUAAUUGACUAACUCAUGAUUGUGACAACAGAAGUAUUUUCAUUGUGAUUUAAGGGUUUAUUUCAUUUUUAAGGUUGGGGUUAAAAUCU